GAAAUGCGAUAAGUAAUGUGAAUUGCAGAAUUCAGUGAAUCAUCGAAUCUUUGAACGCACCUUUCGCUCCUUGGUAUUCCUUGGAGCAUGCCUGUUUGAGUAUCAUGGAAUCUUCAAAGUAAAUCUUUUGUUAACUCAAUUGGUUUCUACUUUGGUAUUGGAGGUCUUUGCAGCUUCACACCUGCUCCUCUUUGUUCAUUAGCUGGAUCUCAGUGUUAUGCUUGGUUCCACUCGGCGUGAUAAGUUAUCUAUCGCUGAGGACACUGUAAAAGGUGGCCAAGGUAAAUGCAGAUGAACCGCUUCUAAUAGUCCAUUGACUUGGACAAUACUUUUAUGAUCUGAUCUCAAAUCAGGUAGGACUACCCGCUGAACUUAAGC
rnacentral:misc_RNA from 1 species